rnacentral:misc_RNA from 1 species
GAUGAAGAACGUAGCGAAAUGCGAUAAGUAAUGUGAAUUGCAGAAUUCAGUGAAUCAUCGAAUCUUUGAACGCACAUUGCGCCUGCCAGUAUUCUGGCGGGCAUGCCUGUUCGAGCGUCAUUACAACCCUCAGGCCCCCGGGCCUGGCGUUGGGGAUCGGCGGAAGCCCCCUGCGGGCACAACGCCGUCCCCCAAAUACAGUGGCGGUCCCGCCGCAGCUUCCAUUGCGUAGUAGCUAACACCUCGCAACUGGAGAGCGGCGCGGCCACGCCGUAAAACACCCAACUUCUGAAUGUUGACCUCGAAUCAGGUAGGAAUACCCGCUGAACUUAAGCAUAUCAAUAAGCGGAGGA